AUUACGGGGAUACACUUCGAUGAAUGUGCGCUCUGAGAUUGAUAACAACGAGAACAAGGCAGAAACGGGAGCCGGGAUGACUGUCGGAGGAGGACCGGCUCUGAGCGGUGCCGGAUGGGAAAUGGAUGAAACUCUGUCGGCGCGGGAGGGACACAUGCUUUGGGAUAAACACCUGGAGCAAAUGCUAUUCAGCAGACGUUGCGGACAACAAAAUGCAGCAAAACCAGCACUUUUGAGAGACUCCUGAGGGGAACGAAGUGCGACUCCACUGACGGAUGUGUUCACAGCAGGUGGAGCAGCGUCACCUGUAGCCCACACGCAGCAGAGUUCAGAGGAGACGCACCACGUCUGUAUGUGAAAGA